UACGAAGGGGGCUAGCGUUGUUCGGAAUUACUGGGCGUAAAGCGCGCGCAGGCGGUUCUCCAAGUCAGUGGUGAAAGCCCGGAGCUCAACUCCGGAACUGCCAUUGAAACUGUUGAACUUGAGGACGAGAGAGGUGAGUGGAAUUCCCAGUGUAGAGGUGAAAUUCGUAGAUAUUGGGAAGAAACACCGGUGGCGAAGGCGGCGACCUGGUCCAUGACUGACGCUGAGGCGCGAAAGCGUGGGGAGCAAACAGG
rnacentral:rRNA from 1 species